GACGAACGCUGGCGGCGUGGAUUAGGCAUGCAAGUCGAACGGUAUCAUCCUUUCGGGGGUGAGAGAGUGGCGAACUGGUGAGUAACACGUAGGUUAUCUACCCUCAAGACGGGGGACAACCCAGGGAAACUUGGGCUAAUACCGGAUGUGAGCAACUUUUAGUUGUUUGAAAGGUGGCGUAAGCUGUCGCUUGGGGAUGAGCCUGCGUCCUAUUAGUUAGUUGGUGAGGUAACGGCUCACCUAGGCAAUGAUAGGUAGGCGGCCUUAACGGGUGGUCGCCCACACUGGGAUUGAGAUACGGCCCAGACUCCUACGGGAGGCAGCAGUCGAGAAUAGUCUACAAUGGUCGGAAGACUGAUAGUGCGACGCCGCGUGAACGAUGAAUCCCUUCGGGGUGUAAAGUUCUUUUAUAUGUGAGCAGUGCUUCUAUAUUAACAGUAUGGGGAGAGAGAUAUUAGCAUAUGAAUAAGCAACGGUAACUCCGUGCCAGCAGCCGCGGUAAACUCGU
rnacentral:rRNA from 1 species